rnacentral:rRNA from 1 species
UGCGCAGGCGGUCUUGCAAGACAGGUGUGAAAUCCCCGGGCUUAACCUGGGAACUGCACUUGUGACUGCAAGGCUAGAGUUCUGUAGAGGGGGGUAGAAUUCCAGGUGUAGCGGUGAAAUGCGUAGAGAUCUGGAGGAAUACCGAUUGCGAAGGCAGCCCCCUGGACAGUGACUGACGCUCAUAUGCGAAAGCGUGGGGAUCAAACAGGAUUAGAUACCCCUGUA